UGAUACAAACAACAGCAGUGAAAUCCGAAGAUUCGUUCCGAAGGGAUCUGGGUACGUAUCACUAGAGCUGGUGCCGUGGUCAGGCUGCUCCUUGCCCACCUGUGGGAUGGCUGACCUACUCAACAAACUCCAGGGAGGAGAUGAGAUAGCAGAUCACCUGACGAGGGACGCUUUUGGAAAUGGAAGGAAAUGACAUCAUCAUUAAUCUUUAACUUCAUC
rnacentral:lncRNA from 1 species